UGCCAGCCGCCGCGGUAAUACGGAGGAUGCAAGCGUUGUUCGGAUUUACUGGGCAUAAAGAGCACGUAGGCGGCUCGCUCAGUCAGGUGUGAAAGCCCACGGCUCAACCGUGGAACUGCAUCUGAUACUGGCGAGCUUGAGGAUGGAAGGGGUGAGUGGAACUCCAGGUGGAACGGUGAAAUGUAUAGAUAUCUGGAGGAACACCGGUGGCGAAAGCGGCUCACUGGUCCAUUUCUGACGCUGAGGUGCGAAAGCUAGAGUAGCGAACGGGAUUAGAUA
rnacentral:rRNA from 1 species